rnacentral:rRNA from 1 species
GAGUUUGAUCGUGGCUCAGGAUGAACGCUGGCGGCGUGCCUAAUACAUGCAAGUCGAGCGGUAAGGUCCCUUCGGGGAUACACGAGCGGCGGACGGGUGAGUAACGCGUAAGAAUGUACCCCAAACUGAGGGAUAAGCACCAGAAAUGGUGUCUAAUACCGCAUGUGCUCUUCGGAGUAAAGCUACGGCGGUUUGGGAACAGCUUGCGUAGGAUUAGCUAGUUGGUAAGGUAAUGGCUUACCAAGGCGACGAUCCUUAGCUGGUCUGAGAGGAUGAUCAGCCACACUGGGACUGAGACACGGCCCAGACUCCUACGGGAGGCAGCAGUAGGGAAUUUUCCACAAUGGGGGCAACCCUGAUGGAGCAACGCCGCGUGCAGGAUGAAGGCUUUCGGGUCGUAAACUGCUUUUGUCUGUGACGAAUAUGACGGUAGCAGACGAAUAAGGAUCGGCUAACUACGUGCCAGCAGCCGCCGU